rnacentral:rRNA from 1 species
GCUGGCGGCACGCCUUAUACAUGCAAGUCGAACGCAGUAGCAAUACUGAGUGGCAGACGGGUGAGUAUAAUGUGGGAAUCUGCCUUUUGGUUUGGAAUAACUCGGGGAAACUUGAGCUAAUACCGGAUAAGCCCUUACGGGGAAAGCUUUAUGCGCCGAAAGAUGAGCCCGCACUUGAUUAGCUCGUUGGUGAGGUAAUGGCUCACCAAGGCAACAAUCAAUAGCUGUUCUUAGAGGAAGACCAGCCACAUUGGGACUGAGACACGGCCCAGACUCCUACGGGAGGCAGCAGUAAGGAAUCUUGCACAAUGGGGGAAACCCUGAUGCAGCGAUGCCGCGUGAGUGAAGAAGGCCUUUGGGUUGUAAAACUCUUUCGUUGGGGAAGAAAAUGACUGUACCCAAAUAAGAAGGUCCGGCUAACUUCGUGCCAGCAGCCGCGGUAAUACGAAGGGACCUAGCGUAGUUCGGAAUUACUGGGCUUAAAGAGCUCGUAGGUGGUUAAAAAAGUUGAUGGUGAAAUCCCAAGGCUCAACCUUGGAACUGCCAUCAAAACUGUUUAGCUAGAGUGUGAUAGAGGAAAGUGGAAUUUCUAGUGUAGAGGUGAAAUUCGUAGAUAUUAGAAAGAACACCAAAAGCGAAGGCAACUUUCUGGAUCACUACUGACACUGAGGAGCGAAAGCAUGGGUAGCGAAGAGGAUUAGAUACCCUCGUAGUCCAUGCUGUAAACGAUGUGUGCUAGACGUUGGAAAUUUAUUUUUCAGUGUCGCAGCAAAAGCGUUAAGCACACCGCCUGGGGAGUACGACC